CCUACGGGACGCAGCAGUGGGGAAUAUUGCACAAUGGGCGCAAGCCUGAUGCAGCCAUGCCGCGUGUAUGAAGAAGGCCUUCGGGUUGUAAAGUACUUUCAGCGAGGAGGAAGGCGUUAAGGUUAAUAACCUUGGCGAUUGACGUUACUCGCAGAAGAAGCACCGGCUAACUCCGUGCCAGCAGCCGCGGUAAUACGGAGGGUGCAAGCGUUAAUCGGAAUUACCGGGCGUAAAGCGCACGCAGGCGGUCUGUCAAGUCGGAUGUGAAAUCCCCGGGCUCAACCUGGGGACUGCAUUCGAAACUGGCAGGCUAGAGUCUUGUAGAGGGGGGUAGAAUUCCAGGUGUAGCGGUGAAAUGCGUAGAGAUCUGAAGGAAUACCAGUGGCGAAGGCGGCCCCCUGGACAAAGACUGACGCUCAGAUGCGAAAGCGUGGGGAGCAAACAGGAUUAGAUACCCGUGUAGUC
rnacentral:rRNA from 1 species